rnacentral:sRNA from 1 species
AAAACGUAACAAGGUCUCCGUUGGUGAACCAGCGGAGGGAUCAUUACCGAGUUUACAACUCCCAAACCCCUGUGAACAUACCACUUGUUGCCUCGGCGGAUCAGCCCGCUCCCGGUAAAACGGGACGGCCCGCCAGAGGACCCCUAAACUCUGUUUCUAUAUGUAACUUCUGAGUAAAACCAUAAAUAAAUCAAAACUUUCAACAACGGAUCUCUUGGUUCUGGCAUCGAUGAAGAACGCAGCAAAAUGCGAUAAGUAAUGUGAAUUGCAGAAUUCAGUGAAUCAUCGAAUCUUUGAACGCACAUUGCGCCCGCCAGUAUUCUGGCGGGCAUGCCUGUUCGAGCGUCAUUUCAACCCUCAAGCACAGCUUGGUGUUGGGACUCGCGUUAAUUCGCGUUCCUCAAAUUGAUUGGCGGUCACGUCGAGCUUCCAUAGCGUAGUAGUAAAACCCUCGUUACUGGUAAUCGUCGCGGCCACGCCGUUAAACCCCAACUUCUGAAUGUUGACCUCGGAUCAGGUAGGAAUACCCGCUGAACUUAAGCAUAUCAAUAAGCGGAGGAAAAGAAACCAACAGGGAUUGCCCUAGUAACGGCGAGUGAAGCGGCAACAGCUCAAAUUUGAAAUCUGGCUCUCGGGCCCGAGUUGUAAUUUGUAGAGGAUACUUUUGAUGCGGUGCCUUCCGAGUUCCCUGGAACGGGACGCCAUAGAGGGUGAGAGCCCCGUCUGGUUGGAUGCCAAAUCUCUGUAAAGUUCCUUCAACGAGUCGAGUAGUUUGGGAAUGCUGCUCUAAAUGGGAGGUAUAUGUCUUCUAAAGCUAAAUACCGGCCAGAGACCGAUAGCGCACAAGUAGAGUGAUCGAAAGAUGAAAAGCACUUUGAAAAGAGAGUUAAAAAGUACGUGAAAUUGUUGAAAGGGAAGCGUUUAUGACCAGACUUGGGCUUGGUUAAUCAUCUGGGGUUCUCCCCAGUGCACUUUUCCAGUCCAGGCCAGCAUCAGUUUUCCCCGGGGGAUAAAGGCGGCGGGAAUGUGGCUCUCUUCGGGGAGUGUUAUAGCCCACCGUGUAAUACCCUGGGGGGGACUGAGGUUCGCGCAUCUGCAAGGAUGCUGGCGUAAUGGUCAUCAACGACCCGUCUUGAAACACGGACCAAGGAGUCGUCUUCGUAUGCGAGUGUUCGGGUGUCAAACCCCUACGCGUAAUGAAAGUGAACGCAGGUGAGAGCUUCGGCGCAUCAUCGACCGAUCCUGAUGUUCUCGGAUGGAUUUGAGUAAGAGCAUACGGGGCCGGACCCGAAAGAAGGUGAACUAUGCCUGUAUAGGGUGAAGCCAGAGGAAACUCUGGUGGAGGCUCGCAGCGGUUCUGACGUGCAAAUCGAUCGUCAAAUAUGGGCAUGGGGGCGAAAGACUAAUCGACUUACUGCG